GUUAGAGGCUCUAUACUCCGUCCCAGAUGGAGGUUAGAGGGUCUAUACUCCCUCCCAUGUGAAGGUUAGAGGGUCUAUACUCCCUCCCAGAUGGAGGUUAGAGGGUCUAUACUCCCUCCCAGAUGGAGGUUAGAGGCUCUAUACUCCCUCCCAGAUUGAGGUUAGAGGGUCUAUACUCUGUCCCAGAUGGAGGUUAGAGGCUCUAUACUUCAUUCCAGAUGGAGGUUAGAGGGUCUAUACUCCGUCCCAGAUGGAGGUUAGAGGGUCUAUACUCCCUCCCAGAUGGAGGUUAGAGGGUCUAUACUCCCUCCUAGAUGGAGGUUAGAGGGUCUAUACUCCGUCCCAGAUGCAUGUUAGAGGGUUUAUACUCCCUCCCAUGUGAAGGUUAGAGGGUCUAUACUCCCUCCUAGAUGGGGGUUAGAGGGUCUAUACUCCCUCCCAGAUGGAGGUUAGAGGGUCUAUACUCCCUCCCAUGUGAAGGUUAGAGGGUCUAUACUCCCUCCCAGAUGGAGGUUAGAGGCUCUAUACUCCCUCCCAGAUUGAGGUUAGAGGGUCUAUACUCCCUCCCAGAUUGAGGUUAGAGGGUCUAUACUCCGUCCCAGAUGGAGGUUAGAGGGUCUAUACUCCCUCCCAGAUGGAGGUUAGAGGCUCUAUACUCCCUCCCAGAUUGAGGUUCGAGGCUCUAUACUCUGUCCCAGAUGGAGGUUAGAGGCUCUAUACUCCGUCCCAGAUGGAGGUUAGAGGGUUUACACUCCGUCCCAGAUGGAGGUUAGAGGGUCUUUACUCCCUCCCAGAUGGAUGUUAGAGGGUCUAUACUCCCUCCUAGAUGGAGGUUAGAGGGUCUAUACUCCGUCCCAGAUGGAUGUUAGAGGGUUUAUACUCCCUCCCAUGUGAAGGUUAGAGGGUCUAUACUCCCUCCUAGAUGGAGGUUAGAGGGUCUAUACUCCCUCCCAGAUUGAGGUUAGAGGGUCUAUACUCCCUCCUAGAUGGAGGUUAGAUGGUCUAUACUCCAUCCCAGAUGGAGGUUAGAGGGUCUAUACUCCCUCCCAGAUGGAGGUUAGAGGGUCUAUACUCCCUCCCAGAUGGAGGUUAGAGGGUUUAUACUCCCUCCUAUGUUGACCAUAGCAAUAAUUAAUUAAAAUAGAAACUUAAUAUAUAUAUAUUAGAAGAGACCAGUGGGAAAUUUGUGUUUUGUAUUUAUUUAUUUUUGUGGUUAUAAAUACUGUAUACAAAAACUACAACAACUUCCAUAUCCCUGUCAAUUUUAUUUGAUUUUAUAGCAAAUAUUUGUUAUAAAAGGAUAGAAUUGAUCAAUAUUCCUGGACAUUCCAUUCCUGCCUGGCUCUCUAUGGUAAUGAAUCCCUGGACAUUCCAUUCCUGUCUGGCUCUCUAUGGUAAUGAAUCCCUGGACAUUCCAUUCCUGCCUGGCUCUCUAUGGUAAUGAAUCCCUGGACAUUCCAUUCCUGUCUGUCUCUCUAUGGUAAUGAAUCCCUGGACAUUCCAUUCCUGCCUGGCUCUCUAUGGUAAUGAAUCCCUGGACAUUCCAUUCCUGUCUGUAUCUCUAUGGUAAUGAAUCCCUGGACAUUCCAUUCCUGCCUGGCUCUCUAUGGUAAUGAAUCCCUGGACAUUCCAUUCCUGCCUGGCUCUCUUUGGUAAUGAAUCCCUGGACAUUCCAUUCCUGCCUGUCUCUCUAUGGUAAUGAAUCCCUGGACAUUCCAUUCCUGUCUGUCUCUCUAUGGUAAUGAAUUCGUGAUCAUUCCAUUCCUGCCUGGCUCUCUAUGCUAAUGAAUCCUUGGACAUUCCAUUCCUGCCUGGCUCUCUAUGCUAAUGAAUCCUUGGACAUUCCAUUCCUGCCUGGCUCUCUAUGCUAAUGAAUCCUUGGACAUUCCAUUCCUGCCUGGCUCUCUAUGCUAAUGAAUCCCUUGACAUUCCAUUCCUGCCUGGCUCUCUAUGCUAAUGAAUCCCUUGACAUUCCAUUCCUGCCUGGCUCUCUAUGCUAAUGAAUCCCUGGACAUUCCAUUCCUGCCUGUCUCUCUAUGCUAAUGAAUCCCUUGACAUUCCAUUCCUGCCUGUCUGUCUAUAGUAAUGAAUCCCUGGACAUUCCAUUCCUGCCUGUCUGUCUAUAGUAAUGAAUCCCUUGACAUUCCAUUCCUGCCUGGCUCUCUAUGCUAAUAAAUCCCUGGACAUUCCAUUCCUGUCUGUCUCUCUAUGCUAAUGAAUUCGUGAUCAUUCCAUUCCUGCCUGGCUCUCUAUGGUAAUGAAUCCCUGGACAUUCCAUUCCUACCUGGCUCUCUAUGGUAAUGAAUCCGUGAUCAUUCCAUUCCUGCCUGUCUGUCUAUGGUAAUGAAUCCCGUGACAUUCCAUUCCUGCCUGUCUGUCUAUAGUAAUGAAUCCCUGGACAUUCCAUUCCUGCCUGUCUGUCUAUAGUAAUGAAUCCCUGGACAUUCCAUUCCUGCCUGUCUGUCUAUAGUAAUGAAUCCCUGGACAUUCCAUUCCUGCCUGUCUGUCUAUAGUAAUAAAUCCCUGGACAUUCCAUUCCUGCCUGUCUGUCUAUAGUAAUGAAUCCCUGGACAUUCCAUUCCUGCCUGUCUGUCUAUAGUAAUAAAUCCCUGGACAUUCCAUUCCUGCCUGGCUCUCUAUGCUAAUGAAUUCCUGAGCAUUCCAUUCCUGCCUGGCUCUCUAUAGUAAUAAAUCCCUUGACAUUCCAUUCCUGCCUGUCUGUCUAUAGUAAUGAAUCCCUGGACAUUCCAUUCCUGCCUGGCUCUCUAUGGUAAUGAAUCCCUUGACAUUACAUUCCUGCCUGUCUGUCUAUAGUAAUGAAUCCCUGGACAUUCCAUUCCUGCCUGUCUGUCUAUAGUAAUGAAUCCCUUGACAUUCCAUUCCUGCCUGGCUCUCUAUGGUAAUGAAUCCCUUGACAUUCCAUUCCUGCCUGGCUCUCUAUGGUAAUGAAUCCCUUGACAUUCCAUUCCUGCCUGGCUCUCUUUGGUAAUAAAUCCCUGGACAUUCCAUUCCUGCCUGUCUGUCUAUGGUAAUAAAUCCCUGGACAUUCCAUUCCUGCCUGUCUCUCUAUGGUAAUGAAUCCCUGGACAUUCCAUUCCUGCCUGGCUCUCUAUGGUAAUAAAUCCCUGGACAUUCCAUUCCUGCCUGUCUCUCUAUGGUAAUGAAUCCCUUGACAUUCCAUUCCUGCCUGGCUCUCUUUGGUAAUGAAUCCCUGGACAUUCCAUUCCUGUAUGGCUCUCUAUGGUAAUGAAUCCCUGGACAUUCCAUUCCUGUAUGGCUCUCUUUGGUAAUGAAUCCCUGGACAUUCCAUUCCUGUAUGGCUCUCUAUGGUAAUGAAUCCCUGGACAUUCCAUUCCUGUAUGGGUAUGUUCAGUGGGGAUCACUGGACCUUAGUCACGUAAUAUUAAUGUUAGUUUUGUUGCUAUUCUUUUUGAAAUAGUUAAAUAGUACUAGUGUUAAUUAAUUAAAGUCUAUUGUAAUACACUCUGUAUCACUGGCGUGUACUUAUGCUCUCUUUGAUAACAAUUAAAUGAAGAAUUGAUUAGUUUAUAUAUUAGUUUCAAAGAAAAAUCUAACGAAUAAUAAAUCAUGUAGAAAAUCAAA